rnacentral:rRNA from 1 species
GAUGAACGCUGGCGGCGUGCCUAAUACAUGCAAGUCGAGCGAACGGACGAGAAGCUUGCUUCUCUGAUGUUAGCGGCGGACGGGUGAGUAACACGUGGAUAACCUACCUAUAAGACUGGGAUAACUUCGGGAAACCGGAGCUAAUACCGGAUAAUAUUUUGAACCGCAUGGUUCAAAAGUGAAAGACGGUUUUGCUGUCACUUAUAGAUGGAUCCGCGCUGUAUUAGCUAGUUGGUAAGGUAACGGCUUACCAAGGCAACGAUGCAUAGCCGACCUGAGAGGGUGAUCGGCCACACUGGAACUGAGACACGGUCCAGACUCCUACGGGAGGCAGCAGUAGGGAAUCUUCCGCAAUGGGCGAAAGCCUGACGGAGCAACGCCGCGUGAGUGAUGAAGGUCUUCGGAUCGUAAAACUCUGUUAUUAGGGAAGAACAUAUGUGUAAGUAACUGUGCACAUCUUGACGGUACCUAAUCAGAAAGCCACGGCUAACUACGUG